rnacentral:rRNA from 1 species
CAGAGGGGGAUAACGUUUGGAAACGAACGCUAAUACCGCAUGAUAUUAUUGAGCUGCAUGGCUUGAUAAUCAAAGGAGCAAUCCGCUGAAAGAUGGGCUCGCGUCCGAUUAGGUAGUUGGCGGGGCAACGGCCCACCAAGCCGACGAUCGGUAGCCGGACUGAGAGGUUGAACGGCCACAUUGGGACUGAGACACGGCCCAGACUCCUACGGGAGGCAGCAGUGAGGGAUAUUGGUCAAUGGGGGAAACCCUGAACCAGCAACGCCGCGUGAGGGAAGACGGUUUUCGGAUUGUAAACCUCUGUCCUCUGUGAAGAUGAUGACGGUAGCAGAGGAGGAAGCUCCGGCUAACUACGUGCCAGCAGCCGCGGUAAUACGUAGGGAGCAAGCGUUGUCCGGAUUUACUGGGUGUAAAGGGUGCGUAGGCGGCUUUGCAAGUCAGAAGUGAAAUCCAUGGGCUUAACCCAUGAACUGCUUUUGAAACUGCAGAGCUUGAGUGGAGUAGAGGUAGGCGGAAUUCCCGGUGUAGCGGUGAAAUGCGUAGAGAUCGGGAGGAACACCAGUGGCGAAGGCGGCCUGCUGGGCUCUAACUGGCGCUGAGGCACGAAAGCGUGGGUAGCAAACAGGAUUAGAUACCCUGGUAGUCCACGCUGUAAACGAUGAUUACUAGGUGUGGGUGGACUGACCCCAUCCGUGCCGGAGU